GAUGAACGCUGGCGGCGUGCCUAAUACAUGCAAGUCGAGCGAACAGACGAGGAGCUUGCUCCUCUGACGUUAGCGGCGGACGGGUGAGUAACACGUGGAUAACCUACCUAUAAGACUGGGAUAACUUCGGGAAACCGGAGCUAAUACCGGAUAAUAUAUUGAACCGCAUGGUUCAAUAGUGAAAGACGGUUUUGCUGUCACUUAUAGAUGGAUCCGCGCCGCAUUAGCUAGUUGGUAAGGUAACGGCUUACCAAGGCAACGAUGCGUAGCCGACCUGAGAGGGUGAUCGGCCACACUGGAACUGAGACACGGUCCAGACUCCUACGGGAGGCAGCAGUAGGGAAUCUUCCGCAAAGGGCGAAAGCCUGACGGAGCAACGCCGCGUGAGUGAUGAAGGUCUUCGGAUCGUAAAACUCUGUUAUUAGGGAAGAACAAAUGUGUAAGUAACUAUGCACGUCUUGACGGUACCUAAUCAGAAAGCCACGGCUAUCUACGUG
rnacentral:rRNA from 1 species